AGUGGGGUGGCCGAGUAAUGGUACGGUACUUUUCCCCGUUUGUUUGUCUGCUCGGUACCGGUACUGCAGUACAGUUCUAAAGUUUUUGAAGUGUCAAAGAUUUUUCUGCAUAACUUUUUAUACAUUUGUGCCAUUAUUUGAAUAAUUUCGCGGAAGGAAAUAUCACCAUAUGUAUCCGAAUCAAUAUACAGAAUAACGGAAUAACAAUCGGUUGAGUUUUCAUAAUGGAUUCGGAGGUAAUGAGGGAAGGUCGUCUGCUGGACAUCGUCGACAACCAAUGGAGGAUGGAUAAACUUCCCAACGAUGACAUCGAGGUCCCUCCUAAUCAGCUUCCUAACGAUGCAGAUGGAGGGAAGGAAGAAGGAGAGAAGAAUACAGAGGAGCGGUGGACGGAUCUCGCGCUGCAAAACCUGAAUGCCUCACAGACGUCAAACCAGGGUAGCUGAGCAUGGAUGUUUCAGAAUGACAGUGAAUUGGACUGAGGAGAAAUACAUCUAUAUGGAAGAAGUAAUGCAAUUUAUAAGAUAAGUAUAUCUGAUCCCCAACGUACCAGACGCCGAAUGACUUCACAGACCUCCAACUAGGGUAGCUGAGCAUAUAUAUUAAAGUGACAAGAAAGACAUUCAGAGGGACUAUCAAGAAAAGCCCAACAUACCAAAAGCUGUAGGACUUGCUGACAGUCGUGAAUGAAAACCAAGGAGGUGUAUUAUCAUUGAUAACUGAUGAGUGCAUGCUCUUUCUCUCCAAACUGACAAAGUGUAAGCUUGCUUCAAAGUUGAACUGCCGGGAUACUCUUUUAUAAAAGGCAGUUAAUUUGAUCUCCACAAUGAAAGAUCUGUUGCUCUUCAAAAUGCAGGUGCUUGACACUCCAAGAUACUCAUACCUUGUAUUCAUCACCUGACUGACUACAUGUACAUGUAUGGAUGGGACUGAUGAAUGAAAUACAUGUAUAACAGCUUGAGAAAGGCAGGCAGAUGGGCAAUUCCAUGGUAACGGAAUUACAAAUCAGAGAAAUUUGGCUGUUAUUUUUGCUCACAGCAUCCAGAUAUCUCAAUAUUUUCCCAUUUUCUGAACUUAAUACUACGCAUGGCCACUUGUGCUAUAUUCUGAACCAAGAUUUUUAGAGAACCCCUCACACGUUCAGAUGUGAAUGACGGAUAUGUGCUCUGGUAACGGAAUUACCAGAGAAAUGAGUCACUUUGCAACCCAAAGUUUAGUCAAAGUUUCUCUGAAAUCUACAACACACUAGCUCCAAGUUAAUGUCUGAUUCAAUUCAUUAUAAUGUCAACUUUAUUUUGAAAGUAAUUUAUUCACAAAUAUCAUCAACAAAUUUUCAUGAUUGGUCUUUCUUUUGGGGAAGUACAUGGUAACGGAAUUACACAUAAUGGUAACGGAAUUACGCCUCUGACAUUUGUGAAGGAAAAUAAUAUUUUUAGGCAUUUAUGACUGAAGAAAUGCCCCAAUAAAGCUUGUUUAUAUAUUCUUCUCUAAUAUUUAAAACAAACUAAGUACUUCACGUCUAUAAUAUCAAAUAAAAUACAAGUAUAUAGUAUGUAAUAAGUGGCUAUACCAUGAAUAAACAGAAUUUUACAAAAUAUUAGGGAUCAAUGGUAAUUAAAUUUUAGUUCAUUUUCAGCUUCAGGGGUAUUAGGACUUACUAGCCACUUUUUGCCUCCUGUAUUGAUGAAAAUAAUUAUGCAAAGGCCAAAAAUCAUACUAAUACUCAUGGUAACGGAAUUACAUGGACUACAGCCAUACGUAUACACAUCAGAAAUUUUACAAAACCUGAGGACAGCAUGUGAUCAGAUCUGCAUAUUUAGUCAAAAAUUUGUGUAGAUGAUAGUUUAAGAUAUUCUUAAGUCUUUGAAUACUCAAAAGAAACAUAGUUUCACAUACAAUUGGCAUCUUAAAACAGUGAAACUGAAAAUUUUCUAUUUGGUUGUUCAAUAAAUGUACUGAAAACGAGAAACAAUGCUGAAACCACAUGAAAAUAGUAUUGACAUUUACAUUUUGAAAGAAUGUUGUGGACAACUAUUAAGCAAUAAAUUGGUUCUUUAAUUAGUGCACUAAUUAAUCUAAUUCUCUUUAAAGGUAAGGAUUCACUUUCUGUCUAUAUGUGGCUCACUGAGGACUGCAAUUAUAGCAGAUAUGACUAUAAAGUCAAUAUCAGACAUCUUCCUGACAGAUGUAUUUCCCAAAUGUGACCCUAAGAAACUGCAGUGAUUUGAUGAUCAUAAGUCAUAUUCAUGACUGAGUUGGUUUUCUUAGGCCAUGAUUUUUUAUUUUGUCUCUAUUAAAAAUUUCUAUCUUUCAUAUAAAAUAUAAAAAUUUAUUCGAGAUAAUUGUUUUCUUCCGUAUCUAUAUGUGACAAAGCAAUGCCUAGGAUGUAGACAUGUUCAUCGCGUAUCCAACCAUUCCAUCACAGAUGAUACGCCUGCACCAAUAUUCCUCUGAAAAAAAAAAGAACUCCAAAUUGGGUGGAGGAUAUUCUCUCUAUCCAUUUUCAAUUUCAGCAAUAUUUCUAGGUCAAUUCGCUCAAAACUUUGACAUACAAAUAAAGGAAAAUAAUUAAUUAUUUAAUCAUGAGAGUACUACUCUAACAUUAUCUUGUAGAUUAAAGAAAUAUUUCAAAUAAUUUUAUUCACUAAUAUUGUCUAUGAAAUGAAAUGAGGUAGGAAAUGAUGUGAUAUUGACUUCUGAAAUAAAGUAUUGUUCAUUUAAAAAAAUUAAA